UGUGUUUAUGUUGGGUUUACAAAUAUAAGGAAGUUUGGAAGAAAUCCAUUGAAUCUAGGUGUAUUAGGAACAAAAAUCGAGAAGAAAAAUUCGUUAGAAUUUUCAGUGGUGCGACGCGCCAUAGAUGUGCCAGUGGGGCUGGCAUGCCACACCUGCAGUGCGCCAGAAAUAGUGUUCUGAAGUUUAGGGGUUGGCCCCCUGCGCCAGGGUCGCC
rnacentral:lncRNA from 1 species